UCUGCUUCUUGACCUGGAUUGACCCACAACUCUUUAAUGAAAAGGGUCAGUGUUUUUUGAUAAUUUGAUCCUGCUUUUGAAAUAUUUCCUUUCCACUAAAAUUUAAACAGUAAAGAAAAACGGAUCUGACAGACUUUAGGUGAGUAAAGUUUAUUUUUACACCGGUUUAUGGCAAUUUUACGACAUCUUCUCUUUCAAAAAUGAUAGCGAUAAGCGAUUGUAUAUGAAUUAUAUUAUUGCGUUAAUGUUAUACUGAAGAACUUCUUAAUUUUAUCUUAAUUUUAUGCUACAACUGUUAAAAUUACGUCGACUGUGAAAAAAGUCAUAAAACGUAGUUUUAUUUUAUUUUUAUUGCAGCAGAAACAUAUAAAUCCCUUGAAAUGAGAUUGAAGCAAUUUCCCGCUUUUUUCACGCAUCUAAAAAAUAUGCAAUGCUCGUAGCCAAACUGAAAUAAAAUCUAUAAGCUUGUAAUUUGUUUUCAAUUGGAUUGAUACGAAAUUAUGGCACAAAUAAAUGAAACGAAAAUGAUAGCUUUACUAUAUGAAAUGGUUAUAUAUUAUUUAUUAUGCAUAAUAAUUAAUUUAUAAAUACAUACCUAUCUUAGUGCAAACACACCUGUAAACAAAUUAUGAGAAAAUAAAAACAACAUGAAAUAUGUUUAUUCAUAAGCUAUCAAAAUACGAUAUACCAUAGAUGAAUAUAAUCUAGAGAUAACUAAUAAAUAUAAAAACAGUUUGGUUAAUUUUGAGUGAAUGAUAUUCUUAAACACGACCACAUAUACAAAUAUACAGGUUGUGUAAGAAUUUAGAAAAAAUGAACAAAAUAUGUAAUGUAAUUUUCAAUAUAAAAUAAGUGAUAAUAUAAAUGAAAAAUUAAAUAAUAACACUUUCAUUGAAACAAAUAUGAAACAAUUUAAAAGAACAAAUAAAUAACUUGAAGAUGUUAGGAUAUCUGUUUAAUAAAAUGUCUGUACCAAGUCAGGAAUAUGACAGUUGUUAUCCAUUCGUUUGAUGUGUUUGAGUUUUGAUUUUGCCAUUUGAUUAGGGACUUUCCUUUUUUCAAUUUUCCUCGGAGUUAAGUAUUUUUUGCGAUUUUACCUUCUGUUUAUAAUAUUAUUCGACCACAUUAAUUCAAAACAGAAAAUGAUACCAAGAACAUCAACGUGUCAAUGCGUGUCACUGAUCCUGCUUCUGCAACUCUAACCUCAGAAAAAAACCAAUUUAGAGUAUCUCCCAUAAAAUACCAAAACAUUUUUUUUCAGUCUUUAAUCAGAUAUUGAAUAAACAAAUUUUUGUGAUGAAUUAUAUUUGUUGAGACAAUUAAUUGUUUUUAAGUUUGUAUAUUUAGAAGCCCCGAUCAAAUAAUAAGGUUAAUAUAGACUAUAAUUUGUGUUAGAAACACUGCAAGUACAUUUAUUGUUGGAAGAAAAAAGUAAAAUAUCACAAAAAUACCGCCUGUUCCAAAUAAGAUAUAUGACAGUUGUUUUCCAUUCGUUCGGCGUGUUUGAGCUUUUGAUAAGGGACUUUCCAAUUUGAAUUUUCCUCGGAGUUUGGUAUUGUUGUCAUAUUUCUUUUCAAUACGUCAGUAUUUGAAUGUUAGUAUACGAAUCGGAGAACGUAAUAGUUUAUUUUGACUCAUGACACAGGAAAGAAUAAGUAAAAGUUUAAAAACAAACAGCUGUAUAAUAAAAACUUAAAUCCAUAAUCUUUCGCUUGAUAUGUGCUAUCUACUUCAAAAUCCUCUUUGGAUUAUAACGGCAAGUGUUUACUAUCGAAGGAACUCUGAAAUCAAAGAUGCGAUACUUUAAUUAAAACAUUUUUAAACAUAAGUAUAUGAUACAUCAAAAGGAUAACAGAAUAACCAAAUCUUUGGUCAUUCAAACAGACCACAUCGACCACCAACACUCGGUCUGGAAUGUAUUUAAGUGUAUAAUCAUAAUCCCUAUCAGAAAACAUAGUAUUUAACUGUAAAUAACUGUUAAUUACUGCGAGUGACUGUUAAUAUUUUUUUUUAACAUCAACAAAGUGCUAAGUUAACAGAUAGAUACAUUUUAAAACCACGAACGUGUGCACACGUGGAGAAGGAUCUGCUUUACAUUCCGGUGCAAUCAAGCUAACAACAGCUCAUUGGCUCAUUUGCUUUGGUACUGUAUCUCAUUUUUAAAAUAUCAAUUAAAGAGUUUAUUAGUUUUACAUAUAUUGAGAUUUCACAUAAUAGCCCACAUUUCAAUCAGAGCUUACAUCGCAUCAUUAAUUUGAAACUAAUCGAUACUACAGAAUGUAGAAUGUCUGCUUCAUUCAAAUCGUGAUUAUUCCUCGAUAUUGACACAAAAUAAAAAUAUGACACGUAUGAAUUUCAAUUUUUUUCUAAUUGUUAUCUGCCCAUUUGUCUGCAGUAAAAAGUAAAUAUAAUCAAUCUCUGCUCAAUCGAAUAUGGCGUUGACAUAUCUCAGUUAAAACGUUACGGUCGUGCGUUUUUAUUUACAGGGAUGUGCUACUUACACAAAAACUGACCCAAUAGAGUAAUGAGGACGAAUACCGAAAUUGAACUUUACAAGUUAUACGGUUAAUCAUUAGUUGGUUUACAAAUACGAUAUGUCGGCGUUGCAACUAACUAACGGCAUGUUUUCGCGUCUUAGAUCUUUAAGAUACCAGUUUGUAAUUUGUACGGUUUUCCUUCCUUUUCCGACAAUUUGACUGAGUAAACAGGCGACGUUUACCAGUCGAUGCACCCGUAUUUACGAUAUUUAAACAUCGGUAAACUUUAACCAUAAAUUGAUUAAUAUUCCAUGUGUCAAGUUUUCAAUCAAACGGUUUCAACUGUACAUAAAAUACAUAAAUACGUCCAGAAACCUUAGUAAGUUUGAUGUACGAUUUAAAGUUUGAAUAUGUAUUCAAUAAAACAUUAAUUUAUGUGUAUUUUGCGAUACUGCAUUUAUCUUUUUCGGCCUUUUUGAAUUUAACAAGGAUAUUUCUUUUUUUGUUUUUAUGGUAGAAUUUGAUAUGCAAUCAGAUAAAAAAAAAACACGAACAAUAAUAUAUUUAUUGUGUACCGUUUGUUUGUCCAUUGCUCAUAAUGAAAAAAGGUCGAUGGUUUGCUCUGAAAAAGUAUAAGCCCCAUCACAUAAACAGUUCUAAUCUAAGUGAUAUCGUAAGGUAACAUCUGAAUGUUUUUGUUCGUUUUUAAAUUGAUAUGUUUGAUUUUGUUGUAUCGUAGUUCUCAUAUAUUUGAUGCGUUCCUUAGUUUUAGUUUGUAACCAGGAUUUGUUGUUUCUCAAUCGAUGAAUUUCGAACAGCGGUAUACUUCUGUUGCCUUUAUUUGAUGCAAUAUAUUUCAUAUGUUAUGUUUAUUUUUUGUUAAAGAUGAUUUUCUGCUGAUCUCGUUUCUCUAUAUCUCGAUUAUUGGUGGCGUUGGGUAGCUGUCGAUAUGUCAAAUUAGAAUAAAUCAAUAUAUCACAAUUCGAUAAUAUCGUGGAUUUACCUGUUAAACUGAUAUUUUGUAUUUUCGUGAUUUAUCACAAUUUCUCAACUCUGGUUGUCUCAUCUGACUGGAGGUAAGCAAACUUAAAGUCAUAUAUUAUAUAUACCAACUAGAACAAUAAGAAAUUUACACCCGUUUCGGUUCAUAAUCAUUUUAUUGUCACGUUAUUGCAUGUACAGCAAGCGCAGUUUACCCGUUGCAGAUUGUAUUACCAAUAUCUCUAAGUCUUAUGCCAUAUGAUGUUCACAUUCACGAUUGAAGACUGUGUCACACCUCGUCAGAGAUAUAUUUUGUGGUUGUAGAUGUUUUCAUACAGAACAAUUGGCCUAUCUGUAAAUGUCCCUAUUGGAUCGGCGAAAAGAUAUUACAAAAUAUUUAUUCUGUUGAUUCACUCGAUGUCAGUCUGCUUGGAGUUUAUACUAUUUCCUAACAUUUUGUUCUUCUUGUUGUAUCUUUUACAUGAAAUACGAGAUGUACAAAAAGGGAUUAAAAAAAAAUACUGAACCUCAAGGAUAAACGGCAUCGGUAAUUAUUUUUGCUGCUUAUUUCUUUUUUAUCCUUGCCUGUGUAUUUAUCUGGUAAUAAAUAUUUAAACCAUCGUUUGAUUUCUUCCUUUUUAUCGAAAUAGAAGCAAGUUGGCAUAUUGAUAUACGAAUUAGGAAACAACCAUACAUCAGAGUGUUUAAUAGCUCAUUUUAAUGUUUGAAAGAUAGUCGAAGUCUAACUUCUUAUAUCUAUUAGUUUGUCCUCUUUUAAUUGUUUACUUUUUUUUUCCACUUAAGGAAGGUCUUUAAAGAACUAUCAAAACAACUCACAAACAUGCGCUUGUUAAAUCACAUGCUUCUUGUGGUACGGUCAGUUUUAUCCUUGUUUGUUUUUUUUCUGAGAAAAGAAACUACUUCAAAAUGAUACUGUUGCAAUAUUUCUUAUUUACAAGCCUAUCACAGUUUGUUAACUAGAAAAUGCAAUCAAACAGACUUUAAUUCAUAUAUGGCAUGUUUAAUUUGAUGAAAUGUAAGUAAUUGUAUUGUAAACGUACUGAUAUGAAUGUGCUAAUUCACUUGUAAUUAAACUAUGGUUAAGACUAGUCGUUCUAAGCUGCCCGAUAUCUUGUUCUUCCUUAAAGAUGAUUAUUGUUGCAGUUUUCAUAUUUUUGUAGGGUUACUUAUUAUUAUAUUUUCCGCUGGCUUCUGAUAAUUAUGUUAGGCAUCAAAAUACAGGUCUUCAAAUUAUAGGACACUUAACAAUUAAAAAUAUAAAAUAUAUUCACUGAGACAUAUCAUUCAUCUUUGUCAAUAAAAAAGUGAAUUAACUAUUGAUUCUUAAUAAUUGAAUAUGAACAUAAACUACACAUGGCAUGUACUCCCCUCUGCUUCUAGUAUGAUUAAUAGUUUACAGAUUUUGUCAGAUGUUUUGACAGAUUCAAACUUGCAGAAAAAAAAAGACACACAGAUUGCCUUUUUAAAAAAAGAUUCAAAUGAUAAACAGUCAUGGCAUUGCACGUUGCAUAUGCAACUCAAUAAAUAAAUAAAACAAAAUAUUUAGUGUACUAAAAAAACGACUUUACAACAAAUACAAAUCUUUGACUAUGUCUCACUAAUUUUGUCUACCAAUGUGAUUCAAUUUAUUGAUGAAAAUGUUUGAAAUUCACGUAAAGACUUUCCUUGAUAUCUUAUUAUAGGCAAAAACUAUUAGUGGAUGUUUAUUUAAAAUUCGAUUAACAUCUUAAGAUGACCAUUUUGACUAUCUUACACGAUCUUAUAGGUCCUUCUUCCAUAUAGUUAUACAAAUGUUCCUGUACUAAAAAAUCAUAAUCAUUUGCUUUUAAAUAUUCGACUUUGAAUGUUUCUGAUGACGAUCAAUUCCACAAAACUCGGACACAUGCAUAGGAUUUAAAUUGGUUGAUCAAUGCAAUGUAACUACGAUUCAACUUUCUCAACUAACGACAAAUAUGUUUUUGUAUGUUUUUGGUCUUUAAAAGGCAAACGAAACAGAAUUUGUUUUCUAUGACAUUUUUAUCCAUUUUUUUUAAAUAUUGAUAUGAAUCUCGAAAUAUACAAAUAGUUAUCAAAGGUACCAGGAUUAUAAUUUAGUACGCCAGACGCGCGUUUCGUCUACAUAAGACUCACCAGUGACGCUCAUAUCAAAAUAUUCAUAAAGCCAAAAAGAUACAUACUUGUUAAUUCGAUUUGGAUUUUCCAUGUCACAUGUAUUACUCAAAAUUUAUCAUAUUAAUAUGAUAUCAUACUAAUAGUUUUCCGGAAGAAAUAUCUUAUAUUUGACGCAAUCGUCGGGCUGAAGCUAUUCCCGCCAUAUUUUAAAACGUUACACAAAUUUCUCGUAAAUUGAUACUUUUUAUCAAAAAAAUAUAUGAUGUCUCAAUGUUAUGUCGUAAGCAGUGGGAUUGGCGUAUUUUUAUAUACAACAUACUCUAUUUUAUUUGCAAAAUCUUUUAAAUUCAUGGAGCUGAUUUGAUAAUCUUUGUGACUUCGCCCAGUGAUUUGGGUGCUUAUCAUUAUCAUUGUCCGUAUUUUGCUAUACUGUAGGGCAUUUUUAGGUUUGAACCACUCUUUUACAUUUGUAAUAUUUGUUAGAAUGUUUUAAAACGUGGCCUCGAGCAUCACUGAAGAUACAUAAAUUGUCUAUAUGCGCAUUCGGUGCAUUAACAUUUGUGCCUUUUAUGGUAUUGUUAAACUUCCAAGUUUGGACAGUGUAUUUAUGCAUUUAAAAGGAGCAAAUUUGCGCGACAUUGUCACAAAAAUUGCUUACCAUUCAUUCACCGAUGAAUUAUUUACAGAAUCAAGAAAUACAAAUUAAAAGACUCGAUUUAUCUUCAACGAAAAAUUAUCAACUUAAUUUUGAAGAAACGGUUGUAAUUGCUAGUGGACAGACCGGUGAUAGUUUUUCAUAAUUAUUGUGAUGACAAGUUAAAAUUUAGGAUGACUUUACAAGGUAAUGAACUACGUUUGUACUCAGAAAUAUAAGUUUUCUUCUCUUGUUUGUCUUUUCGUCGUUUUUGGGUUUUGCCAAGACGUUCUCGUUUCCGUCUUGUGAGUUUGAAACUCUUUUCGUAUCUUUCGUCCUUCUUUUUCGAAUAAAACGACACGUUGCUUUCUCAAAAUCUGAUACAUCCCUAUGAAUAUUUUCAAAUGCGUUCAGAAAAUCGCUUCCAUUGGUUUAUAACGUCAUAAACAAAGAAAAUUUAUUCAAUGAUAUGAUGAUAUUUUCAUACUUUGGUCAGAAAAUUGAAAUUCCCUAAUUCCUUUAAAUUCUGAAACGACGAUUCCUAAAUAUCAAAUAUCUUCACAGAACAUCAUUUAUCUCUGUCAAUAACAAAAAAGUGAGAAAACGUUCGGUGCUUAAUUGAAUAUGGACAUAAAAUAUAUAUGUCAUGUUUUUUCCACUUUGAUUUAAUAGCAUUUUUCUUUAUCAAUAGUGCAAAUAUUUAAGCAGAUUGAAUUUUUUAUGAAAAAAAAUUUAAAAUAAGACAUUUUGAAGUUGUUAAAAUCAUGUGGUGUCUAUGAAACGUAAAUUAGAAAGAAACGAAAUCAUGUAAAUAGUUUCCUUGAAUUAUUCCUUUUAAUACAAAGACAAUCUAAAAUGAAAGUAGAAUUCUUAAUUUUGUGUGCAUCACAUAUUUAAAAGCAGAUUCAGUUCUCCAUUUGUUCUAAAACUGUCAGGAAAAUAGCAGAUGUUAUCUACAUUCCGUUUCUAUGUAUGUUGGUGUUUGCUUCUGUUGUAGUUUAUUGUUUCUGAUGGUCUGUUGUUUUCCUCUUAUAGUUGAUGUGAUUCCCUCGGUUUAAGUUUGUUAUCUGGAUUUGUUUUUGUUGAAUCGAAUGAUGACUAUUGAGAAGCAGAUUACUACUACUGCCUUUAUAGAUUGCAUUUCUUUAGCAACUCCUUUUACGGCUAAAUCUGUACCACUUUUACUAUGAAGUUUUGAAAUUUUUUUUAUACUAGAAUUGAAAGUUCAUAUGUACCACAAUUUUUUUCAAAGGUCAAAAUAUAGGGCUGUGCGGCAUAUUUACAACGUUUAUAUGACCUGAACUUCUCAGAGUUUAAACUAACACUAAUUUUCUUAACUAUCCCUACCUCGAAUGAAAGGUUACCACUGAUUUCAAUGUAAACAAUAUGCACACGUUUUUUUUUACUGGUAACAUUCCCAAGUUAUGUCUCUGUGAGAUGGAACGCAGAGAGCAUAACUUGGAACCAGUAUGUAAACAAAAUGAACUUUCUAUGAAUAUUCAAGAUCUCCCCAAAAGAGGCGUGUUUUGAGAAACAGCUGUAUUUAUAAAGUGCAACAUAUAAAUAAGUUAUACUGAUGGGGAUCAAUUUACACAUGACAUGAUAUCAUAUGAAGUUCAGCCAAAGCAAUUGUAUCACUUUCCUAUUGAUAAACAUUGUCACAUGUUUGAGCUUACCUAUGUAAAUGACGACCAUUUUGUUCGAAAUACUGCAGUUUCUCUACCCUCAGACAUACAAUGUCUUAAGGUUCUUUUAUCAUUAUUUAAUAAAAUUGAGAAAGAAAAUGGGGAAUAUGUCAAAGCGACAACAACCCGACCAUAGAGCAGAUAGCAGCCGAAGGCCACCAAUGGGUCUUCAAUGUAGCGAGAAACUCACGCACCCGAAGGCGUCCGUCAACUGACCUCUUAAAAAAAUGUAUACUAGUACAGUGACAAUGGACGUCAUACUAAACUCCGAAUUAUACACAAGAAAACUAAAAUUAAAAAUCAUUAAAGACUAACAAGGGCCAGAGGCUCCUGACUUGGGACAGUCGCAAAAUUGCGGCGGGGUUAAACAUGUUUAUGAGAUCGUUAACCUCCCCCUUUACCUCUAGCCAAUGUAUUUUUGGGCUUAGUGGUUGAUUGGGGUAGAUAUUUACUACUGUAAUAACUAGCCAGUCAACACUGAGGUUGUGAGUUCGAAACUCGCUCGUGCGGAUGCACACGACUCCAAUCUUAAUUGACCAGGAUUGUCAGUUUUCCUAUUGGAGUUCUAUGGUUUUCUCCGGCUUCCAUCACCUAUUCAAUAGAUACCUACCGAUGUAGAUAUCAGCAGAUAACUGUAAGGCCUACAAAAAUAAGACAACAUCAACACCACAUACCAAGCUAUAGGUCAUAGCAAGCUAUAGGUCAUAGCACUGAAAACAAUUCAAACCGAACACACAGCGAUCUAAUGUAUGAACAAAACAACAAACCAGGAACAAAUAUGAUAAACAUUUUAUAUUUACCUUUCAAUUUACCUCAAUUGUUUGGAAAACCUUCAUCAGUAUUGUUCGAGACCAAACGUUUUGUAAGAUUAAAUAUAGAGGUGUUUUUAUAUAUACAAAACAACAAAGAAAGCUCACAACAGCUGAAGCAGAACAGGAAAUCGUUUAAAGUCUGUUUUGCAUAAGAGUUCCAAUAUUAUUUUACGUACAACUACUGUAGAUUUAUGUUAUUCGUGGUACCAAUUUUCAGGGUUUGGUGGAAUUAUUAUAUUUCGUGGUUUUGCAUUAUCUGCAUAUAAACCAAUAUAAGAAUGUUUACUUCGUUGAACAUUUAGCAUCGUGUUUCACCUAUAAUUACGAAGUUUUACAAAUUGUGAUCUCACGAGCAAUAAUGAAUACCCAGUAUAUUAUUUACGAAAUAGAAAUUAAAAAGAAACAAAGUGCAUCGUAUAAAUUAUGCUAGUACGACAGUACUAAUGUAUAUCAUUAAGAUAUAUAUUCAACACCAUAAAGUAUUUUUUUUGUUCAAUAAAUGACAGUUAAUAAAUAAUUUUAAUCUGUGACGUAAAAUAUUUUUUUUAUGAAUGAGAACAUUUCGGGGUUUCCAUUUAUUUCUAGAAAUUGUAUACGAAUAGAAAACUUAACAUCAAAGAAAAGUAAUGUACGAAGGAACAAAACAAAUUUCACGAAUAUUGGAACAACAACCCCAACCAACAACUAAUCCCUUAGGAACAUAAAAAAGAACCAUGAUACCCGACUGAGAACAGGAACAAAAUAUGGAGGAGUUAAUCCAGUUUUACGAUCCUUCAACUUAAUUUAUUUAAUGCACGUAUACAAUGCCUAGUACAUGUUUACCUAGUUAAUAGUUUGGUAUUUAAAAAUAUUUGUGAUAAGAAAAAGAUUCUCAGAGAUAUGUGUGUACUCAUUGACAUAAACCUAUUGCUUAUCACAUUCUCACAUCAUAAUGUCCAAUAUUGUGCUGAAUCACAAAGCGAUACGGGGAUCACGGGGCAGAUCAAAGUGACCGCCAUUUAAACCUGUCAACCUUUUGACAUAUUUACAAAUUGCUUUUAUAUAUUACAAAUACACGAAUUUACAAAUAUUACUUGUCAUAUCAUAUCAUAACAUAAAUUAAAGACAAAUGAUUUAUUUUAUAUUUUUAUCAUUAUAAAAACGUGUUAUAUUGAUGUUGUUAUUGUAUUGUGGACGUGUUUAUAGGUAGUAAGCCAUAUUUUUAAACGCAUCAGGAAAAAUGAAAAAUGGGAAAUGUUUGUCUUAACACAUAAUAGUAACGUAAAACGGAAUCUUACGUUUGAUCUUAACGUUGUAAAAGCUUUUUUUGUCCAAUUACAAAAAUGAGUGAUCGAUUUUUGCGUCCAAUGAAAAACAAAAUAUAUUAACCUUUAUCUAAGUGCACAUUUAAAAUCAAUGUUUACUCCAAUUAAAGAGAUGAUAAACAAAUAAAACAAGAAUGAGAACCAAUUAAAUUGUAUUUAAAAAUUUACAUAAAAUAAAACAAUAAACAUGUUUAACCAAUCACACUUUUUUAAAACAAAUUGAGCUUAUGGCGAGGCCUAUAUACGAAUAGGAAUUAUUUACGCUGUUGACAAUAUACAAAAGACAAUGCCCCUAAUAAAAUGGAGUGGACAAAAUAGUUGAAUAAACCACGAAAUUCACUUAUUUGGUAAACUUCAGUCAAGUUUCUGUCAAAUCAAAUCAUUUUAUUGGUGUAAAAUUCAAAUACUGAAUUGUUACCCAGACAAACAUAACAAUAUUUACUAACAAACAAGUAUUAAAUUUAAACAACAUUCAUUUUCUAUAAGGCUGUAUUUAGAUGUUUUGAAGGAGGUAAUACGUUUGCAAAUUUUUAAGUACAAGUACAAUAUUGGUAACGCAAUUGUUAUAAAAUAUAACACAACUAUGUAUCUGUUUCCAUGCUAAAUUUUGGGACUUGCGUUUAAAGUAUAAGUAACCUCAUCAUAGAUACAAGGAUUAAAAUCUUGUAUUUGCGCUAGACUAUUGUUUCUUCUACAAAAGACUCACCGGUGACACUCGAAUAAAAAAGUCAAAAUGGCAAAUAAAGUAUUGAGUAAAAGAGCAUUGGACCAAAAUGUCUUGACAAUUUUGCCAAAAAAACUUCUAAGGUAAUCUGUUCCUGAGGAAGACAAACCGUAGUAUUUAAAAAAAUCAAAGUUUUGUAAAAAAGUUAAUUUAUAGAUAUGACCAUAUGAAUGACAACUCAUGUCAACACAGAAGUGCUGCCUACUAGGCUGGUGGUACCCGCGGGGAAUAAACACUCAACCAGAAUGGGCAUCCACCCAUUGGUUGUAAAUAAACUCAUCAUAUAUAUUAAGUAUAUCCGAGAAAGUCCCAAAGUGUCAUAUUUUCAAUGAAGAUAUUGACAUUUUUACUUUGAAUAAUUUCCUUUCAUUGAUUUAUUAAUCUUAAUCCCGAAUAUCAGAUCAAACACAAAGGCACCACAUGGGCUCAGUGCAGUUUUUAGUAGUUAACGUUCAUCACAACGGAGCGAGUAGACAUAUGAAAAGCUUGUGCAUGUAUGUUUAUCCAUGUUUCUUGAGACAAGUCAAUCACACUCCUUUUCUUCUUAUACUUUAAGUAAAUAAUGAUCGAAUGUAUUGAAAACGAAAUUUGGGUAACUUAAAUAAAGCAAUUUGUCUCAUGCUAUGAAUAAUUUUAUUUUGGGAUGUAACUGCGUCUUCUGAUUGGCUGACGUUAUUUUGUUAUGAGCCCAUAGACAUAAUUAGUCAUGUGACCGUGACGUGAUCAACGUUUAUGGUUUCUACGGUUAAAAUGGAAUUUAGAAAAAAUUAUAAGAAAUGACUGUAAAUUUUUUUCUGAUUCGAAAUAACAUUAAUGUGGUGCACCUGUUAAAUAACCCGCUACGCGCGUUAUUCAGUGUGCACCAAAUUUUUAAUGUUAUUUCUUCAUAGACAGAAAAAAUAUUACAGUCAUUCCUUAAAUGGAAAAGAUCAUUUGUUGUUAAUUAAGAUUUAAAAAAAAAAUCUGAGAAUGAAAAAAUAUUGGAUGUGUUCUAGUGAAAGGUUACGCUAGCUAUAAAACCAGGUAUAUCACAGUAUUUAAUGGCAAUACAAAAAAACGUGUCCUGCGUUCUGCAAACGGUAUCAAAUGUUUUGUAAAAAUAAGAGAGCGACUAGUACUUGUACUUAUAGUUGGGUGUCAAAUGGUAAGUUCACCUGUUGACCAAAAAUGUCAAAUGGUCAGCACUGUACACCUGUUGACCAGGAAGACAGUACAGACAAAAUAUUUACAUUAACGUUUUUAUGAUUUACAUUAACAUAUGGCUGACAAGUCAGUUAUAUAAAUGUAUUUGUUUUGCUUCAUAAAGUAACGUUAGUACAGUUUCAAAUAAACCAACAUUAUAUAUAUUGCAGUCAUUGCAAAGAAUAAAGUUAACCUUCUAUUUUUUCAAGUUAUUGUUUCAAUACAUGUACUCAAAUGGCUCAAAAAUCAUGUGGUAUAAUUAAAAUGUGUAUUAUCUAUGUUACCUAUCACUGUCUUGCAAUCAUAUUCCGCUAUAUCAAACUAUUUUAGCUGUGUUUAUUAUUGUUCUCUUAAAUCUAUUAAUUGAUGGUUGCCUGUUCAACCGUUGAAUACGACUUGUUUUAUAUUAUUCUGUAUGAAAAAUGUAAUUUUAUGCACAUGAUGUGUAUUACUGUUAUGACCAUGUGCAAAUUAAAGAAAUGCGUUAUAAAAAAGGGAAAACAGGGAGAAAGAGUGUCCGCUAAAAGACCAAACAGCAAGGUUGAUUUAAAAUAGGGAACUCCAGUAAAACUGACAAAAUCAAAUCCUAGGCUUUAUUAACCAACGGAACGGAAGGAAAACGAAUGUCAAAUUCCUGACAUGGUACAUGUUAUUAGGUUGUUAUACAUAAUGGUUAUUUUUGUUGAAUUCAAUAAAAUGUGUUUUUCUGUCUUAAGUAAUAUGCAUAUGAGAAAUAGUUUUUGUGUAAAAAGUAUAAUAACAAGAAUACCGAACUCCGAGGAACUUCUAAACGGAACGUCCCUUAGCAUAUGGCAAAAUGAAAAGCCCAAACACAUUCUGAUAUUUUUCUACAUACGUAAAAUAUAGUUAGAUGCAGUGAAAAUGAUUUAUUCGUGUAUGCAUGUAUAAUUCUUUAAGUCAUUAAUUUAGAAUCAAUCUGGUGUGAUACUAUUUUACCAUUUAGGUUCAUAAAACGUGUAUAAAAAAAAAAGUUUUGAGAACGCUAAAUACCCAUAGUUAACAUUCUUGAUUUUAGCCCUUCCUAUUAUUUCAUAUGAUGAGGUGUCAUGUGCCUCUUCGUUUAUUUGUUCAAAUAUAAUGGAAAUGCUUCCUCCGGCAUAGGUUUGACCCGCUUAUUUCUACACUCAGUAAAAUCUGCGAUGCGAAAUUUCGGAAAGCAAUGAUUGAAACGAAACUGAGCAGGACCAAAUUUGCUUUAAUUAUUUUUUUUUUUUCGUAAGAUACAUUUCUUGAAUAUCAAUAUCAAAACAAUAAUUCGCAAUUUAUAUUUGAGGGAAUUUUGGACAGGAAAAUGAUUCCUUAAAUUAAAGGUACCAGACAGAAUUUAUUCAUAUCACAUUUACAAUUUCACGUAUAAAGUAAAAUAUUAAAAAAAUGAUUUCCGAGGAAAAUUCAGAACGGAAAGUCCCUAAUCAAAUGGCAAAAUCAAAAGCUUAAACACAUCAAACGAAUGGCUACCAACUGUCUAUCCCAUAUUCAUGUAUUUGGUUUUGAUGUUAUAUAUAUAUGUUAUAUUGUUUUCUCGUGGAUUUUGUCUAUUGUGUUACAUUUUAGUGUUUGUCGUUGUUCUCCUCUUAUAUUUAAUGCGUUCCCUCGGUUUUAGUUUGUUAUCCCGAUUUUGUUUUUUGUCCAUGGAUUUAUGAGUUUUGAACAGCGGUAUACUACUGUUGCCUUUAUAUUCCUUAAUUGUUAUAUGCAUUUUCUCAUGUAGAAAAUGGUGGAUUUAACCUGGUUUUAUAUUUAGAUAAACCCUCACUUGUAUGACAGUCUCAUCAAAUAGAUAUUAUUCUAUUCAUGUUUAAUUUUGUUUAUGUUGUAUAUAUUUUAUUAUUUCUUUUAGAUAAUAUGCAUUUUGAAAUUAAUACUGCAAUCGUCGUUGCAAUGAUGUAAAUAUAGUAUACAUACACAUUUUGUUGACUACAAACGAAAAUAUCACCUUAUUUUUUGUGUUUUAGUUGUGCUUUUCAGAAUCUACCUUCAGCACAACGCCAAUUGCAAAACUUGUGAAAGACAAAAAAUGCAUGCAAAUGUCAGUAUUUACCUCAAAAGCUUACAAAACCUUAAACAGACUUAUUAAGAAGGGAUAUAGUUACGAUACUGUCAUCUAAGAUUGCAUAUUUUGGCUUGAAUAUUGAUUCACUUAUAGGGUCUUUGCAUCGAAACUAAACACAUUCAUUUAAAAAAACAGUUGUUGGCAUGACACGGGUUAUGUUCUUCUCAUAUAUUUUAUAAUAGUAUGACACUAAACCCCUAACGAGAGGGAUUGUGCUUGAUAUUCAUAUAAUGAAGACACAAUCUUUCAAUCAGUUAAAUUGAGGCCUGGAGCUGGUAUGUCAGUUAACUGCUAGUAGUCUGUUGUUAUUUAUGUAUUAUUGUCAUUUUAUUUAUUUUCUGUUGUUUUAUCUUCUGACAUCGGACUCGGACUUCUCUUGAACGGAAUUUUAAUGUGCGUAUUGCUAUGCGUUUACUUUUCUACAUUGGCUAGAGGUAUAGGGGGAGGGUUAAGAUCUCAUAAACAUGAUUAACCCCACCGCAAUUUUGCGCCUGUCCCAAGUGAGAAGCCUCUGGCCUUUGUUAGUCUUGUAUGAUUUUUAAUUUUAGUUUCUUGUGUAUAAUUCGGAGUUUAGUAUGACGUCCAUUAUCACUGUACUAGUAUACACAUUUUUUAAAGGGGCCAACUGAAGGACGCCUACGGGUAUGGGAGUUUCUCGCUACAUUGAAGAUCCAUUGGUGGCCUUCGGCUGUUGUCUGCUCUAUGGUCGGGUUGUUGUCGCUUUGACACAUUUCCUAUAUCCUUUCCCAAUUUUAUAUCUUAAAAUGUGAGCAGCUCUAUUACCAAAAGGUCUUCACUGUAUGACAACUCAUCAUAUUAUGACCCUUUAUAACUCAGAGUUAACAGUACGGAGGGUUACAUGGCCGAAGUUCAUUUUAUAAGCCAAACAAACUGACUAAGAGAUUAUUUUCCGUCGAAACAGCGCAGCUAAGAGAAUAUUUUCCGUCGAAACAGCUUGUUAAGAGAAUAUUUUCCAUAAAAACAGCUAAGAGAAUAUUUUCCGUCGAAACAGCUUCUUAAGAGAAUAUUUUCCGUCGAAACAGACCUCUUGAAAUCAUUCAUCUUUAUAUUUAACUCUAAGAUCUGGUCUAUAGUUUGAUAUGGAUCAAAGAAACCGUUAACCUCUGUUUCAUUAUUUUGGCAUUUGAUCAAGAAAAAAAGAGAGAAGAACAUACAUUAGCUGACCAUAUGGCCAGUUAGCACGAACUUUCAAUCCUACUUUAUCUUAUAACUGUUUUAUUGAAAUUAUGUAUGUAGAUAUUUAUUUCUUCAUUAAGAGAUCACUUGAGAUAAGUCUGACAAUCCAGAAUGACACAAAAUACGGACAUAAAAUCAUUGAACUAGCAUUAUACAAGUUGGAAUAAAGAGCAUAUAAGUAUAUGCAAUUUUAAGAAUGUAUUUUCCAAUUUUAAUUUCUGAACCUGAAUGCAAACAUACGAAUAUUUGAACAUGUGUCAAUAGUUAUCAAAGGUACCAGGAUUAUAAUUUAGUACGCCAGACGCGCGUUUCGUCUACAUACGACGCAUCAGUGACGCUCUUAUCAAAAUAUUUAUAAGCCAAACAAGUACAAAGUUGAAGAGCAUUGAGGAUCCAAAAUUCCAAAAAGUUGUGCUUAAUACAGCUAAGGUAAUCUUUGCCUGGGAUAAGAAAAUCCUUAGUUUUUCGAAAAAUCUAAAGUUUUGUAAACAGGAAAUUUAUUAAAAUGACCACAUUAUUGAUAUUCAUGUCAACACCGAAAUAUUGACUACUGGGCUGGCGGUACCCUCGGGGACAAAACGUCCACCAGCAGUGGCAUCGACCUGUAAACGAUAUUUAUAUGUUCAAUUUUUAAAUGCUAAGGAAUAAGGAAUAAUUCUAAAUAAAUAUGACCAACGUUUUGUAUUUAUAAAAAUAAAAACCGACAUUUUCAUACGAAACCAAAUUCUAAAAGAUGUAAAUAUAUGCAAUACCUUUAAAAAUACAUUAAUCAUUAUGUUCCCAUUGUUUGUUUCGUUCACUUUUAUUCUAAUGUAUUUCACAACGAUCUUCACCAGCAAUGCAUAGCCCUGAAUAAAAUAUUUAUAUCAUUGAUGCAUGUUAACUUUUGAAAAUACACAAUAUAUAAACUUGCAAUGGUUGCUGUCGGUCAUAAUUAUUUGUCGAUAAUUUAUCUUAAAAUAAGUUGUAUCUGUGGUAUUAACAGUUAGUUUGGGUUUUAUUCUAAUUGUUUUAUAUUUUUCCACGGUAUGCGUUUUCUUCUUGAUGCAAACCGAACGGUUACAUGUAGACGGUCACAUCCUUGUUCAGCAUAUACCAUAUUUCAUUAUCUUUAGUAUUUAAAUUUACAUCAACUUGUGGGAUUUGAGUCUCUCGAUGAACUAGUACAGGGAUAUUCAUCACACAUAUUUCAAAGCUUAAACUUUACACUAGUAUUCCAAUAUUUAUAUUGUCUAUUUAAAUAUCUAUCCAUGCAAGUGUUUUAUGAAAUCCAAAGACCACGAUGUUUUAACUGACAGACGUUACAAACCCAACUGACAAUCUUGUUAUUUUCGUUUAUGGAACAACAGACAAUUACAAUCAUAUUCAAGGAGUAAACACAGACUCACAAAACCAAAGAAUGUGACGGUUGUUGUUCAUUCUUUUGACGUGUUUAAGCUUUUGAUUUUGCCUUUUGAUUAACGUCCUUCCGUUUUGAAUUUUCCUCGGAGUUCAGUAUUUUUGGGGAUUUUACUUUUUAAUACAAGUUAAAAAAAAAACCUGACAAAAAUAUAAGUUAACGAAAUAUUAACAACAUGACCAAAUGAUAAAAGACAAUCUAAUAGCAUAACCAAUAGUUACAAAAGCACACACAUAGCAGUUGUAACAAAUCAAUCUUAAUAAGAUACAGAUCUGUUGUCCACGUUUCGCGUGUUCCUAUAUUUAUUAUGACAGUUAUUAUCGGAUUAUAUGAAGGGUUAUAAUGACGAUGCAAGAGCCGUUUUCCCUGUCUUACCACCUUUUUCUAACUUUGUUCUUUUUGUACACUCUAUUUUGGCAUAAAUAAUGAAACGUAAUUUGUAGUAACGUUGAUGUUUUUAAGUUCAAGUCCUCUAUCAAAUUGUGUUUUACAUAUUUUUCUCUGCUACACAUUAGAAGUGAUCAGACAAUGUCUAUUAAUUAGUACACAUAUGUUAAAAUUAAUUUCAACCUUUGAACACCGGUAUACUUCUAUUGCCUGUAUUCAUGCAUUCAUGUUUACUGUCAAUUAAUAAGGCCAACAUUUUAGAACAAUAUAAUUAGAAGGUGUCUAAUAACCAUUAAGUCGAUUGGAAUUUUGGAUUUUGACCCAAAAACGAUGAUUCAUUGGUUUUAAGUAGGUGAAGGCCGAUUAGUUUUUUUCAUGUUUCCUGCUGCAUUAUACAAAUUAUGUAAAUUUGUGGAUUCAUAUACAUAUGCAGAUGAUGUAUAUUUUGACAGCCAUCAAACAUUUUGACAAACGGUGAUAAGCAGAUGUCUUAGGGAAUAUGAUGAAUUAGUUUAUAUUCGGCUUAAAUAUGUAGAUUGAAAUUGUUGAAUGUUUAGAGCCUUUCAAGUUGAAUAUUUUUCCUCAUUAAUAUGCAAAAUGCGUAGUGCAAUUAAUGUCAAAAUUUAUCAAAUUUGUUAUUUAUCAUAUACACAAGGUUAUACAUGACAUGAAUUGUGUCAUUUGCAAUAAAUUACUUCUUAACCAGACACUGUCAAUGAUAAGUUAUGCUACUUCAUUUCAUAAUUUCAUACACACUAUACAUGUACAGAUACACGCUUGAUAUUCUGAAUAUUCAACUAUGUCUUCAAUUUAUACAAUAAGUCACCCUUUAUCUUGUUUAAAUUAAUAAUGACAAAUUGUUUUCAGAAGUUGUAUCUCAUACAAAUAUUUUUGGUAAAAUAGUUGCAGACGAAGGUUUAUGCUUCCAAAGAUAAUCCUUGUGUCAUAGUUCCAUACAUGUUUAUGAUACAAGCAACACUCCAGUCUUUCCCAAAAAGUGUCCUGUUCAUUUUUUAUCCCAUAUCUCAUCACCAGCACGAUUGCAUCUGCUAAUCCCUUUCAGUUUGUUAUUAUUUUUGUAUUUAUUUACAACGAUAGCUUUCAGUUCAAUUUUGAAAUAAUGCUUCCAUUAGGAACACAAAUUACACCAAUAAUGGUAUUCGCAUAACUGUAGAAAUAAAAAAAGCAACUAGGAUGACUUGUGGAUAUCUUUGAAUUCAAAAACGAUUGUCAUACAAGGGAGAGGUUUAGCAAACUAUAAACCCAGGUUCUACACAAGGAAAUGCCUGUACCAAUGCAGGAAUACGAAAGUUGUUGUCCAUUCGAUUGAUGUCUUUCAGCAUUUAAUUUUGCCUUUUGAUUACGGAAUAUUCGUUUUGAAUUUUCCUUUGAGUUUGGUAUUUUUUGUGAUUUUACAUUUUUUUAUGCUGUAUAGACAUUUUGAAUCUUCAGCAGUCCCGGUAGAUGUAUGCUUAUUAUUGAUUUUUCAUCAUUUAAGUUUAACUUUCAUUGUAGUCUAUUUCUUUUCAGUCGUUUCGAUCUUGUAUUAUUCGUAUGACUUUUUAAUUCGUGACCCAUGCAUGUAUCAUUAUAUAUGUAUCUUGCAGAUAUGGUUCCUUUCUUCACCUUGUUGACCAAAGUUACCAUGGUUAUAUUUCUCAAUUAAAUUGUCUAAUAUUCGUCAUGUCGAAGCCUUUAAAGCCGACAUAGCGGUAGGUUUUUAUUGAAAGGCCACAUGGAUGCCCAUAAUUGCUUACAUCCACUUCAUUGGAACUGUGGUGGAUAGUUGUCUCAUUGGCAAUCACACCACACCUCCCCAUUUAAUAUUGACAAAAAAAUGCCUACGUGUUCAGGCUGUUAUAUCGGUUUUAACCUUUAUCAAAUCGGACAUUUAUUAUCUGUUACCUUUAUCAGUUUCUUCAAAUUAUGUGAUUUGAACAUUGGUAAAUUAAUAUUUAAUAUACUUUGUAUCAUAUAUACGUUGUAUGUCACGUAUACCUUGAGUCUUUAAACAAAAAUACAUAUGCAGUAUUUGAAUAGACAUAAACCUAAAACAAAUAAACCUAUACCAUUGAAUUAAUUUUUAAAACUAAUUCACAAUCGUUUUACUGAAUUUGUUUUGUGUGCUACUUGUUUAUGCAUUUGUAACUUAACGUAGUGGAAAAGAUUUUACUCUUCAUAGACUCUUUCCGAAAUGUAAAUAAAGGCAAUAGUAGUAUACCGCUGUUCAAUGAGCAUAUAUCGAUUUUACUGAAACAAAUGAAGAGUACAAACAAAAACUGAGGGAAACGCAUCAACUUUAAGAAGGAAUAAACUUAAACAACCGAAACAUUGAACUGCUACAAUAUGCAAAUCCUCUAAACCCAAUAAAAUCUCGAUAGCGUCAGCAGUGCCAUAUGCUCAUAUUUCUGUCUAAAUACUUUUACGGUUCAGAAUAUAAGUUAUUUAUUAAGUCUUAUGAUAUUCAUAAUGAAUUAACAAAAAAAGAUUGUUAAAAAAAUCAUCCUGAAACAAAUUUUUCUAAAAAAAACCUUUUCGUUCCUUUGGACCUUAACCUUGCAUCCAUUAUUAGUUGAAACGGUCAGGGAUUGGGCUACUGGAAUACAUUCAAAAGAUCUGACACAUUUUCUGUAAUGUUUGUCAGAUUCAUUACGUAGGAACAGCAUUCAUCAAUCACCUUUCCAAAUUAUUAGAUCUCCUUUGUCAUCAUCGUUUCAAACAGGUGUAUAUUCGUUUUUCUCGGUCAUUGGCUUGGCAAGCCUUUGUAACUUUUAGACAAACCUUUGAUGUUUACUCAUUUGAUAUAAUCUUUUUACAAAUGAUUAAUUUUUUAACCCACGAAUAGGGAAAUACAAUUGGUAUUGGUUAAGAAUACAAUGUUUAGUACUUUUAUCAUUUUUGUUUUAACAAUAUUUAAUUACAAAGUUUCCAAAAACUAGAUGUUUUCCUUCAAAUCGUGAGUUUAUUCACUCCAAUUAAUUUAUCGUUCUAUUUACCUAGAAUAUAUCAAAUAUAAGUCAAUUUGGUGUUGAAAGGGGAAAAAUGAGACCUAAUAUCUGCAUAUCCUUUCAAUGUCUAUCAGUUCGAUUGCUGUGAGCUUCUGCUGUCAGAAUCAGCCUAAACAUAAAGCACUUGCGGUUUUGAACUUGGUUCAUGUUGCUCAGUCGUCAAGUUUUCUAUAUGUUUUGUAUUCUGUUGUUUGGUUUUGGUCGUUUAUCAUAUUUGUCAUUGUGGUGCAUGUCGGUUUGUCAUCGACUGAUGAGUUUGAAUAUCCCUUUGGUAUAUGUCAUUUUUAUUUUCUGCCUAGUACACUUUGAUGGCAAAAGCAGAUUUUAACCAAUCGGGUUUUUCCUUUAGAAAGGUCAACAUUUGCAGUUUUAUUUCUUGCAUAUAUUAAAGUUAUUGUGAAAUAAAUACUCCAUAGAAUUUUAAUAGAUUUAUUACGCAUUGGAAGUUAUUGUAUCGAUAGGCCUGGAAGGUCAAGAUAUUAACCUUCGACUUCCGAUUUUUUCGGUAUAAACAAGUGGCUACCCUGUGGAUCAUUGUAUAGAUGUGCUUUAAGAAAUAGAUUGAGAUACUUUUGCAGGUAAAUAUAGUAAACUUAAAAGUAAUCCGUGCAAUACAAGGUAUGAUGGACACUAUAAUAUUAUAUAUAUUUACGAAACAGCUGAGUCAUUCUUAAUUUCAAUUAAUUAAACAGUAUCUUUGAUAUUAUCAAGAUAUGAAUAAUUAUCAUUUCUGUGUUUCAUUUGACCAUUUGCCAUAUUGAAGGUUAUGUUGCAAUUGAUUCCUUUUUCCACAAACUGUAUAAGAACUAUAAGCUGUAUAGGUUAAUUGGCAUAUAUGUAAAAAGUGAGUUACCUUUUAGUAAUGAUCUGGUUGAUAUAUUGGUUUUGUUAAUUAUGACGUAUUUCUGUUCAUGUAUUCAAUUAUUUACUAAGUUGAUCUAUAGAAGAACUACUUAAGGUACGACCUUUAUACAUUGCAAUUUGAUGAAAUGGUGAGUUUCACCUUUACUUUUCAUGUAUCAGGUCAUGUAUCAUACAGUAUCAAGGGAAAGCCCUAUUCGGUGUUCUGGGAGGUGAUCCAUAUUAGGUUCUUUCCGAUAAAUUGACCUCUAAGUUUCCCAAACAAGUAGAAUUGAUGGCAUACGCUUUGUAAGCAGCAGUAUAUUGGAGGAAUGAAUAACCUACCGCCUGGACCCUUAUAUGAGUAUUGGGAUUCCCUGAAUACAGUGCAUCAAAAUGGAAUACCAAUAUUUUGUCCAUCAUAGCGAACAGUUAAAUUAUCAAAGUUAAUGUGAAAUACUUUUUAUUCAAUAUGUUUUAAAACAGCUUUCUUCAAUUCAUCCCUCAAGAACAGUUACGUAAGUGAAGAAUGGAAGACUUCAGUCCAUGCAUAGUCUAUUUGCCAAUUACCGUAGUUUACCUUAUAAUUAGAAAUCCAUUUUAGUUAUCUCCCUUAGGAAGGACAUAAACUUUCAUUAACAAUGCAGAGCUAUCGGGAAUAGCAUAUUUAUCUUAAAGUAUUGUGUGUAACAUUUAAGUUUUUCAAACUUUUAAAUUGCAUUUAAUAUUUAAUUUUUAAGCUAAAAAAGCAUUUGUUACCAGUAGCUAUUUUUCACUGAAAAAAGGUUAAAACACCGAUAUAUCAUAUUCAAAUUAUCAUGCUUUGCGUGGAAAAAAGUUAAUUGUGUCAGGUAUAUUCCAACUUACUAGUUACAAAGGACAUCAAUUUGUGUUUAUCAUGUGUAACAAUAUAACUUAAGUCGGUAAUUGACAAAUGGACGUUUUGAACAAUGAAUGAGCCUCAAACGGAAUUUAUUCCAUUUAAAUUUUAUGUACUCAUUUAUUACUUUUACGUACUGCACGUGUCCACCAGUACGUAAUAGAAUUUGUAUUGCAACGACUGUUGCUAUAUGAAUCAAUCUUAAAAGACAGAACAAUGGCAUUUGUAUGAAAUAUUGAGUUUUGUUCUUGUCAGCAUAAUUAUAUUCAGUACCUUUGAGGCACUGUAAAUUUCGAAUCUUGAUUAAAAGAGGGACGAAAGAUACCAAAGGGACAGUCAAACUCAUAAAUCUAAAACAAACUGACAACGCCAUGGCUAAAAAUAAAAAAGACAAACAGAAAAACAAUAGUACACACGACACAACAUAGAAAACUAAAGAAUAAACAGCACGAACCCCACCAAAAACUAGGGGUGAUCUCAAGUGCUCCGGAAGGGUAAGCAGAUCCUGCUCCACAUGUGGCACCCGUCGUGUUGCUUAAGUGAUUACAAAUCCGGUAAAUAGUCUAAUUCGGUAGGUCAUAUUCAUGAAAGGGAAGGGGAUUGUAGUUACGACGUAAGGAACAUAUCCGAUAUCAUUUGUGAAACGGUUAUUCCAUAACGGUCAACCAACUCGUGAUGGCGUCCGUAAAAUUUACGAAGGGAUUAACAUGUAUUAGAAUUUUUGUAUCAAAGCAUUGAAUUAAUAAUCUCAGAAAACGUGUACGUGUAUCGUAGAAAAUUUGAAUUGUUGAAUGCAAUAGAAUUGGAAAAAAACGUUCGAAUACUAUAUGUUUUCUGGUUAAUUAUGUUGCAUACCUAUGGACAUCAAAAACAAACAAAGUUAAUUUGUAUCUGAAAAACGACACAUUUGAUAUAUUUUUGGCUUUGGAAGAAAUAUCCUUCUCAAUUUCUUUUAAAUAAAAAUUGUCAACACUUAUAUAACUACAGUCUUGUAGCUUUUGUAAAUCGGUUCAAAAAGAUUUAAUUAUGUGGUUUAUAUUUUCAUAUGCACAUGAAUCUGGUUUACUGCAAUUAUCAGUGAAGACUGGAAAGCAUUUUAGUUAUAAUCCUUGCGUAAAUACCGUAUCUCUUACCUGUACCUGUGUAUACCAAAUAAUACAAUAAAAAAUCUCAAAAUUUGAAACCAUGAACCGACUUAUAUUUAGUCCAAUUAUUUUGAUUGGAAAUUACUUUUGAUUCCAUUGCUGUUUAAUGGAAAAGGAAGAAUAUUAUGUUUAUUAAUUGAAAACACAAAAUUACCUUGCGUAAAAGAAAAUACCAAAAAGCAAAGAAACAACACUUUAUAAAUAAUUGUUCUUCAUCUCAAAAUGUGUCUCACAGUGAUGGUUUCAACAUAGAAAAAAAGUUAAAUGCUUGUAUCUGUUGGGCAGUAUUCUUUAUAAAAAGUCGAUCAUAUUAUAACUGCAAUCGGCCAUCUUCGGCAGAUUCCGCUACUGUAGAUUGUUAGAUAUGCCGAGAUGUGCCGAAUGUCUUAAACUGAACAUAGAAGAACACAGCUGCGAGAUCAACAGAUCUGCCAUAAAUUUGCAUAAACGUGUCCGCAUUAUGCGUUACUUUCAUUUUUCAGUGGCAAAUAUAUCAUAAAAUACAACACAAACAUAAAUUUAAAAAAACAUCAAUUAAGUCGGUUCUGACGAAUUUGAUGUCAAAGAGAAGAGGUGGGAAGUUUCAAAUGUCAUUGAAACAAUGUUGCAUGUUUGGUCAGGAUAGAAAUGUUGCCUUCUUAUAAUUCAUUUGUGAGAUCUGAGAAAAGUUGUUGCAAUGACAUUUUCAUAUUCAAAGAGUGCAGGGAACACAGUUUUAGACUUCCCACUUUUGUUUCUAACAUUGAAACUAACAAAAAAUGCAAAAUUGAUAGUAAAAUAAGGAAGAAAAAAGUUGGUAGAAUAUGAAAAAAAAUUAAAAAAAUCAUUUUAUAAUAUGCAUAUAUAUGAUAAAAGAACUAGGAUCAGUUUUAAUAGAGUUUUGAAAAGUUAUUGUUUGAGAGCGUCUUCAAUUUAAAUGCUUUCCUUUUUUCUUUCUCUUGCUUAAUUUAAUAUUGUUUUGUUUAUUUCUCAUAAUCUCGAUGCAGAUGUUCUCUUCAUGUAGCUUUUGGCAUUAAGACGUCUUGAUGUAUAACUGGUAAACACGUCAAUGUGUUUUUAGCCAGACAAGGUCAUUAAACCCUCCAAUUGUUUCCUUCUUCUUUGUUUGUCUUGCAUUAGGGUUUCUGUCUCUUUGAUGCUUAUGUAUUAAUCGUCUCUUUUGAGUUGUAAAAUAUGAAAUUGAGUUGUCUCCCAUUCUCCUGAAUCAAAUAUUUCCGAAUGUACCCUUUUUGGCUGUUUUCUUAUAUUUAUAAAUGUGAGAACAUUUUAAAAAUAUUGGCGAACAUUUUGUAUUUAAUUGGAAGAAUAAAUAAGAUGGUUUUAUUCUCAAAAUCUAUUUAUAAUGGAUAAUUCUUUUAUAGAAAAAAAGAAUGUUCAAAAUGUCGCUAAUCGGGGAACUUUUUAAAACUAAAAGAAAGAAGUUGACAUUUGUGGUUUGGACAAAGUGGCGUUGGUCAUCAAAAACCAGCAAUUAUUUUUUGCUUCAGUUUGAUGAACAUUGUUUUUCUGUAUCAGUUUAAGUUUGAAACCCGGAUUUGUUUUUUUUUUUUCUCAAUCGAUUUGUGACUUUCGAACAGCGGUAUACUACUACUGUUGCCUUUAUUUACAAUGUAUUAUAAUAUUGUAUAAAUGUUUGUAUUUUUACCAAAUAUGUUUUCCUGUGAUCAUUUGUAGUUUUUUGUUUUGCUUUUUUUUAUUAAAGAAAUUUGACGGUACAGUCUCUUUCUUUUGUAUCAAUAUGUAAUUUUACAAUUUUUUGUGUUUGUUUUAAGAAUGUUUUUGUCUAUUGUCAGUGAAUCACCAGAAGCUUUCUUAAAGUCUUAAUGCUGAUUCCGUAUGUUUGAUUUUUUAAAGUUAAACUGGUAUUUUUAUGAUAUAUUCCUGCUAGUGUCUAUCCCAUAUCCAAAGUAUCGGAAUGUUUAUAAAUCAAGACUUAGUAGAUCUCUAGAAUGAAAGAUCUCGUUACACCUGAAAUUAGAAAAGAAUGUUUAUUAGUUGAAAUUAUUUUCACAAGAAGACAAAAUAUUUUUUACAAUUUUCUGUUACCAAAAAAUAAAAGGGGUUAUGGUUUUAUUAUUUUGAAUGUUUAUAUACCGCUUAAAGUAAAAUACUUUAACCCAAACGAUAUUUAACUAUUGAUAUUAACAAAUGCAUAAAUAAAAUUAAAAAAAAAUACAUUGUGUUCAAUUUUUGAUGGAUAACGCUCCUUUUUUCUAUAUCUGGAAGAAUUGUAUAGAACACUUUGUCUACAAACGUAAAACAAUGUAACACAAUUAAAUCUUUUAAAACCCAUAUAUUGAAAAAUAUUUUGUUUAAUUCUAAUAACAUUAUAAUAGUUUAAUAUUUUUUUUUUAUUGAACUUUAUAUUUUAUGCUGUUAUCAUUAUAUUACUAUUUUUUAAUAUAUACAUAUAUGAUAUAUAAUUUUGAAGAGAAAACAUGAGAUAAUAUCUACACAAAGAUAACUUGUAUGAGGAAUAUAUUUGUUAUUUUUAUUUCGACUUAACAAAUCGUAACUUUUAGGACUAUCCUAAGACACCUUUUUACAUAUCCUAACUUUAGGACCAAAUUUAGGACAUAUCUUAUUUCCAGAGAAUUUCGUUAACCUGUCUUAUGGCUACGACGUGUCCGGAGACCAUCCUAAGACACGCCCUAGUCCUGGGACAGUUUAGUUGACACGGCCCAAUAGGCCGGUUUCACGAAGCUAUCAUAAGAUAUGGCAUGAGAUAUAUCUUAGGACAUGUCUUUUGAUCCUUUAAUGACUAUCUUAGGUUAUAUUUAGGAGAUAUAAGCGGAUGAUAUUAGCAAAGAUAUCUUACACCAGUCAAACAUAAACAUGAAUUUAUGGAAAAAUUCAUGAAAAUGUACUAGUAUGUCUUUCCAAUAAAUUAAUAAACAUGUUGAUUAAUAUCAUUAGAUGAUUUGCAAAAAUAUUACAAAAAAUGAGUGGAAUUAAUAUAAAUAAUCUAUUAAUAAAAAGUAAGAUCACAAAAAUACUGAACUUAGGGGAAAAUCAAUUCGGAAAGUCCAUAAUCACAUGGCAAAAUCAAAUAACAAAACGCAUCAAAAACGAAUGGAAAAGAACUGUCAUAUUCCUGACUUGGUACAGGCAUUUUCAAAUGUAGAAAAUGGUGGAUUAAACCUAAAUUUAUAGCGCUAACCCUCUCACUUUGAUGACAGUCUCAUCAAAUUCCGUUAUAUUUACGUUGAUGCGUAAACUAAACAGACACAAUCAAUAAAAUAGUCAAAAUAUGGGUACACCAAUCUACGUAUGAAACAUUAAAUACAAAAUUGAGGAAAAAACGAAUACAAUUAUGACAUUUUGUGUUGUACAAGUGAUUUGAAUUUAAUUUGUCACUGAAUCGGUUAUAAUCAGUUUUAAUGAUAAAAAUCGCUCCUUUUUUAUAUAAAUACAUCGAAUGUUCAUUCAUGACAAAUCAUGAUAAUCCAGCAACCUAUAAAGAUUCAGUUAUGAGCUGGAAAAAGGAGAAUAGAUAAUUUAUAGUAAUAAUUGAAUAUUUUUUUGGCAAAACUAAUAUUAAAAAUUAGUUUAAUUUAUAGAAAUAAACUUAUGACUAUCAUAAGACCAACAUAAGACACCUCUCGUGUAGUCCUAACUUUUUGUCCAACUUUAAAAGAUAUGCUUAUUUAGGCCCACAUUUAAAAUCUCUAUGCACUUAUUAGAAUUACGAUAUUUCUAAUACACGUCCUAGUCCUAGGAAAGUUUCGUGGACACAGCCUCAGAGAUUUCUGCCUAUAAAGGAGAAACUGAGGUACAAGUGAGCCAAGGUUUUUGUUGUCAAAUUUUCCAAACCCUGCUCUAAUGAUAAGUGAAGCGUUAUCUCUUUUCCAAAGUUGUAAAAAGUAAAAUCACAAAAGUACUUAACUCCAAGGAAAAUUCGAAACGGAAAGUCCCUUUUCAAAUGGCAAAUUCAAAAGCUCAAACAAAUCAAAGGAAUGGAUAACAACUGUCAUAUUUCUAACUUAGUAUAGGCACUUUUUCAUGUAGAAAAUGGUGGAUUAACCCUGGUUUUAUAGCUAGCUAAACCUUUCACUUGUAUAAUAUAAAUCUAAAGGCGAAAUAUGCAUUUUAGAUUAACUGAUAAUUCAAAAUUAUGUAUUUAAUUUCACUUUAAUAGCGAACCCAUAUAGGUAGUCUCUCAUGACAUUAAAUGUUGCAAUAUUCGUUUUAUUUGGCAUUGGUUUGAAAGUAACAUUUACCACAAAUCACAGAACUAGAAUACGUAUAUGUAUGAAUAUAAAAAAAAAUCUUAUUUUAAUUCAUGUAUACAUUUUAAGGAGAUCUUCACAACGGUUUUAAAUAUCAAAACAUAAAAAUUGGGAAGUUUUGAACAGUGGUAAACUACUGUUGCCUUUAUUGAAUGCACAUUCUACGAAAUUUAAAGUGAUUCAAAGUAUUCUGUGAAACAAACCCCGUCAUUAAUAUAAAAACAAUUCAAAGGCAAAGAAGCAAAAAUUAAAAAAAAGAAGGAAAGGAGUAUAAUAUAUGCAAUAAAUUUAAUGAUAAUAAAUAACACACUGAUUAUAAGAAUUAUGUCAAUCAGAAUAACAAAGGGCAAGGACUUAUAUAUUUUUAAGAAAAGGAAGCUCGCAGUGCUAGAUGUAUUUAUAUAAAAAAAAACAGAAAAACUUUCAUUGUUAUAUAACGAAUUCAAGUUAUUUUUUAAUUAAAGUGCUGCAGUACUGUGGGUAAUUUGAUGCGCAAUAUACGCUUAAUUAGUUUCUUCAUAUAAUAAACGAACAUGACCUAGGAACUUAAUGAUUACAGGUAUCCAUUUCUCUGUCAGCUUUGAUACAUGAAGAUAAAUGAUAUGUGGUCAAGUCUAAACUUUCCCCUUGCUACUAUGUUGAUUACAUAAAAAAAAAUCAAAAGCGUUUUCUUAUUAUUACAUGUAAAUGUUUUUUUAAAAGUGUAUGAUAAGAAGUUACUGAUACAUAAAUAUAAUUGCAGUGGUCUCUAAGGCUGCCGAGGUUAUUUCCCUUAGAUAACGAAUUUGCCAUAAAAAAAAUACAACCUCAUUUUUGAAAUUGCAAAAAAAAAAAUUGAAAUAACUCGAUAUAAUUUAUGUAUAUGUCCAUCAUGAUUUAAAUUAUUAAGCACUAAAAAGGUAAUAAACAAAUCCCAGAGUUUGAGAAUUGUAAUAUUUCUGUAUUUUUUCAAAAUAAAAUCAUUUCACACUGCGUAAGCAUAUGUUACAAAUGUAUACUGUAUAAACAGUGCCGUGGGAAAUAAGAUGAGCCUUUGUAUGUAAGCCGAGAAGUAAACAUGGUAAGACAUUUCUUUUCUUUAAUUUUUUUCUUAAACAUUUUUAUGAAGAUAGUAGUUUCACUUUCAAAUGGCAAUCCACAUGCGUAUUGGUAAUACAAAAAUCAUUAAUUGUCAUUUUCUCUAAUGUAAUUGAUUUAAACAUUACAUCAAUUAAUGUUAUUCUGAUGUUUUCAGUUUUUGAACCAAUAGCCUAAAACAUCAGAAAUUGUUUGCUCAUAAAACGUAUUAGCUUUUGAAAAGACUUAAAAUUGCGUUGUACCUCAAACUGCCUCAUUUUGUCUAAAAUGAAAUAAUUUAAAAUAAAACACAAUAAUUGUAUUUUCUAGAUUAUGUAUCAUUAAUUUUAUUUUUAAAAUUGCUUUAUUUUUGUUUUUUUAUUUCGAAUAUAAAAAUUAUUGAGCAUUUUUUUUUUAAAUCAUUUAAAUAAAUUACUUUAAUAGAAAAUGUAAUUAUUAUGAAAUGUUGGUAUUUGCGUUUUCUUGUUACAUUUUAAAUACAAUAUGAAUAUAUCAUUUGUGGAUCAUUGUCUGCGCUGUCUGUGUUAUUGAAUUCAUGACUAAAAUAUCGUCAUCAUAAUAAAAUAAUUGAUAACAUAAUUAAUUUUUAACGUAAUAAAUCUGAGAUUCAGCUUAUUUGGCUUUAUAAAUAUUUUGAUAUGAGCGUCACUGAUGAGUCUUAUGUAGACGAAACGCGCGUCUGGCGUACUAAAUUAUAAUCCUGGUACCUUUGAUAACUAUUAUUCGAUUGCUUUAUUUAUUUCAAGAAUCUGUACAACUUUUUUUUUAUUAUAUUGAUAAAUUUUGCUUUGUCAGUAAUAUUCUAGACGAAAAACACUUGCCUUGUAAGGUAUUUUUUUUCUUCAAAUAAUCAAAAUACAAUCAUUUUGAUUGUUUAUUUUUCAAUUGCAUGUGUUUAAUGUGUUUAAGACAUUGGUUAUUAUAUUUUCAAUUUCUAAAUUACGUAUAUUUUGAAACGAUUAUUUGUUUUAUCAUUUCUUGAGUAAAGUAUUUUUCGAUCGAAUUUAAUUGUAAAAUAUUGACUAAUUAUAUGGAAACUGAAAAUAAAAUAGUUGAAAACUAAAGAAUAUAAGAAUAAAAAUAUUAUUAUUCCAAUCAAGGGCCCUUGAUGGGUACCAUGACAUAUAUACAUACAAAACAAUAGAUUGUAAUUUGUAAUAGAAAAACAUUGAAAAGAAGUAUUAAAAGUUCAUAUACCUGCUACCAUGAUAGAAUUACAUAUAUUUCUUCGUUAUAUUUACAAAAAGUAAAAUAACAAAAGAAAUGAAUUGAUUUUACCUUAACAGUAUACCUUCUGACCACCCUGAUUGAAAUUACCUAAAAAUCAUUUAUCAAAACAUCCACAAAUAUCUCCUGUUUCGUAACUUGAAAAAUCAUUCAUUUUCUGAUAGAAAUUCACAGCGUGUCGUCGAUUUGAUAACUGUCCGGUGGAAAAAAAAACAUGUAAUAGACUUAAGCACAUAUCUCCUCCGGGCGUCAAGGAAACGAAAACAAAAUAAUCACAACAUCAAAAGGAAAAAACUGUUGCAGCAGAAAAUGUCCGGAUUGUACGGGUUUCGUCGUCUACGUGAGCGAAAUAAAAGCAAAAGGAGUUUUGAGUGUGCAAUUGUUUAAAUCCGGAACAUAAAGUCAUAAAUAUAUCAAACUUAGUCCCCAAUCGCCACGGCAAACGCAUUAAACAGUAGAUAUCCAUUAAGCAUUGUUCUUUUAUGGCCCAUAAAACUCUCUCGGUCUCCUUUCAUCUAAAACACUGAGUAAAUGAAAACAAAAACUGAACGCAUAUUUCAACUUUUUACUUUAUUUUAAAAUAUUCUAGCUGCAAGAGCUUAGGCAGUAAAUUUUAAAUUAUUGUUUUUUCGAGAGGCAAGUUAUUCGCAUCGAACAACAGAAAUACCGAUAGGAAAUUCUCACAACCGGUGAAAAAUGUAUUUUGGUUGAUGAUAGAUUUUUACAAUAUUUUGUUUAUAAAUACAAAACAGAAUUCUUGAUUAAUAAAAAAAAACAUGAACAAAUUUCAUCGUUUGAUAAUAAUAAAAAAUUGAAAGUAUUAUUUCUGUAACAAUAUUUACUUUCGAAAAACUGUGCACAGUAGCUAAAAGUUAAUACAAACUAUUUUUUAUAGAAGCAAUACAUAAGUUUUUGCUGUAUUAUAACCAAAAUAAUUGUAAAAUUUAGCAACUAAUACACAUUUUCCUUCACCAGUUAUACAAAUAUUUUUCGUUUCAGGAUUUUUUUCCCUAAAAAUGUAUACACACAAUCUUUCAAUUACAAAAAUGAGAGGAUAUGAAAAUUUGCUUUAUCAAAUAGUAUCGCAAUAAUUUAUAUAUAUAUAUAUAUAUAUAUAUAUAUAUAUCCCAUGACACGGCUUAUCAACAUUUAUGUCGCUACACUGAAAUUUUUCUACAUGUAUUUAAGAAAAUUCUAAUAACAUUGUAGUGUUGUUGUCAAAUUUGUGUGUCGAAUGUUUAUAGAUAAAUCAAUACACAGUAAUUUUUGCUAAUUUAUAUUUAGUAAAUGUUAUAUUUCUGCUAGAUAUUCAAAUUUUCAAACCCUAACCCUUCUUACUCUUUCAGAAAUGAAAGUAAAACUAUUCCCUCCGUGUUAAAAUUGUCUACUUACAUCAACGAACAUUUAAUUUUUACAUCUCACAUAUUCCUGGUAUAAACCAAAGUUGUUUUACCGAAACAACCUUUCUCCAGAUAAGCAAAGAAAAUAAUGAGCAAAUUUGAUAAAAUGAUCCUUUAUUAGUAUUAUGGACGCUAAUAAAUUAACAAUUUUGGCGUUUUAUUGCCAAUUUAGUGCAGUAUAAUGUCAGAUAAUUCUCCAACAAAUGCCCAACAUAAAUAAUCUUUUGACAUUUUAUAUGAUCAUUUUACCUGCUUAAUUAUCAACUGGACACAUUUAAGUUCAGGGCUAUUAAGUUUAGAACACAAAUAAAACAUUAACAUUAUUUAAAUUAAUUGAAACAAAUAAAUUGAAAAAGGGUCGCAUGAAGACGUAAAGACAGAUAAAUUAUCUAUAAAUGGAUGAUAAAAAUGCUUGAACUUGAAUUCGUCAACGUUUAAUAAUAGUAUAUAAACAAUACUGUUUGUAGAUAUCUUUCAAAGAAAAAAAAGAAAUAGUAUCUACGUUUUAUGAUAAUAGAUUUCAUCUAUUUGGAAAUUGAUAUGUAAUAGAUCGUAUUAUAUUGAGGUAUUUGAGGUUUAAAACAUAGAUAAUAACAAUUUAUGAAUUCUACUUUAAUGUCAGUAAGUAAAUAAAGCAACACAAUUUUAUCGUUGAUAUUUUGAGACAAAUAAUGAUAAGUAACAGUUCCAAAAUUAUACGAGUUAUUUCCCUUUGAACAUUAAGACGAUCGAACAGAUGACUGCUUAAACCGCUUAGCGAUACUCGUUAACAUUAAUCAAAAAAGGUUACACAUCUAAAUAGAUAAGAUGAAUAUGAUGUAGUGCAAUGUGAAAAUUUACUUAUUUCAUUCCAUAUUAAUCAAUACUAUUUAUGUUAAAUUCAUUUUCAUAUUUCUGUUAAAAGUUCAGCUUGCAUUUGUCAGAAAGUAGACGUAUUGUUGCCAAUGCCAAGGGGUACAAUCAAAAUCACGUGAUGGAUAUACACACACCGGAAGUAACAGUCGAGCAGACCGCUUGAAAGGUAAGUAGUCGUAUUUACUUGUUUAUAUCAAUAAAAUUUAAUAAAUAAGGUAGUGCACCGAAUGUAGGAUACUAUCUAAUUUUGAAAUACACAAUUAUCCUUGCUGGAAAGCGUGCAGUUAAUGCGAACACUUCCACACAGUUCCAAAAUUUCACCGUCGAAGUGUUUGCAAUAACUGCACGCUUUCUGGCAAAAACAAUUGUGUAUUUUAAAACUACAUACUAUCCGACAUUCGGUGUGCCAACUUAUUAAUCAAAAUUUAAUUGAUAUAAACAAGAAAAUGCAACUUCUAACCUUUCAGGCGGCGAGUUCGACUGUAACUUCCGGUGUGUGUAUAUCCAUCACGUGAUUUUGAUUGUACCCCUUGAAUGCAUUGUCUUCAUCAGAAUGCAAAUAAAAAUGUAGAAUUAAAAAAAUAUAAAUGUUAGUUGUAAAUAUUGACACAUUUCUUUUUAAUUGACAGGUAUAUAUGUCUGAAUAAUUUCAAUCUAUGACUUUUAAAAGGUUUGGACUCCGAAUCUCAAUACGUGGCGUCAUACCUAGAAUGAUCUUUUGACAGUCAACUCGUAGACUUCUUCCUCAGGUGGGGCUUAAGUCACGAAAUACUUUAAUAUACUUAUUGUAAUCAAAAGCCAAACCCUAAAUGUUUUAAGUACCAAAAUUGUCCCCUUUGCUGUAACGUAUCCUCAAAACCGACAAUCCCUUUGGAAUUCAUUCAUGAUCAAUUGUCACACGCUUGAUGAAGUACCAAAGAUGUUUUCCUUUUACUUCAAUAUGAUAUGGAAUUUCAUAUGAGCGAGCAGGAACUUAUAUAUUGCCUGUAUGUAUAAUGUUCCCAGCAGUAAUAGAUAACUUUUUCAUACUGUUUAAGAAUAUAGUAUGCUAAGUAAUAUUAUUGCUUAAAGUUUUUUGGUGACCAUGGAUUUUUCUUUUUAUACACAUACCCGGAUGAGAUAUUAUCAGUAAGUUGAAAUCACCUAUACAAUGUCAUUAAUUAUGGUCGUUUGGGAAAUAAAAAAAAUGAAAUAAAAAUAACUUUUUGCAUGCAAAAGCGUGAACUCUGAAUGCAACCAGUCCAAUUUUGUUGUAACCGUUUAGUUUCUUAAGUUUAUUAAUUUAACAUUACUCUUUUCUGCGUACAAACAUUAGUUGAAAAGUACAUCAAUUGAACCAAUCAAAGUAGAACAUGUUUAUCUUUAUCACAUGUUAAAUUACUGUACUUAGUACACACACUUUUAAAUAUGUUCUGUCUUUCCCAUCAGUCCUUUGAUAUUAUGUGGACUGUUCACUUCUUUCCAAUUAAACCUUUGAUAAUCUUUGACUUCUCCGUUUCGUUCCCAUCAGCCCUUUUGGUUUCAAUUCUAAAGAAACAGAUCCGAUUAUACAAAACAACUGGUUACUCCUUUAGUUGAAACAAUUUUACAUAUGAAGUUUCUUCAAGUUCCCGUCAUUCGUUUGAUGUUUUCACUCUUCUUUUCUUUCCGAUCAGUUUUUUUAUAAUCUUUGGUUUACUCGGAUCUUUCCUAUCAGUCCUUUGAUAUUCUUUGGACUCCUUUUUCUACAGAAACAGAUCCAAGUAUGUAAAAUAAUUCAUAAAUCUGUACAACUGGUAACUAUUCUUAGUUCAAACAAUUUUACAUAUAUCAUUUCUUUCCUGUCAUUCAGUUGAUUAUUUUACUCUUCUGUUCUUUCCGAACAGUUCUUUGAUAUUCUUUGAUAUUCUUUGGACUCUUUCUUUUCUUUCACAAGAAUCCUUUGAUAUUUUUUUUUGAUUUUUCGUUUUCUUUAGAAACAGAUACAAUUAUAAAACACAAUUUUCAAUUCUGAAGAACUGGUUACUGUACUUAGUUCAAACAAUUGUACAUAUUAUUUCUUUCUUUCGCAUCAUUCAUUUGAUUUUUUAGCCUCUUGUUUUCUUUCAGAUUAGUUUUUUUUUUUAGAUUCUUUGGAUUCUUCUGUUCUUUUCCAUCAGCCCUUUGAUACUCAUUGGACUUUUCGGACCUCUCCUAUCAGCCCUUUGAUAUUCUUUUGACUUUUCGUUUUCCACAGAAACAGAUACAAUUAAAUAAAACAAUUUUCAAUUCGGGAACAACUUGUUACUGUAUUUAGUUCAAACAAUUUUACAUAUGUCCUUUCUUUCCCAUCAUUCAUUUGAUUUUUUACUCUUCUUUUCUUAUUAUCAGUUUUUUUUAUUCUUUCUCAUCUGACCUUUGAUAAUCUUUCUCUUUUUCGUUUCUUUCUCUUCAGCCCUCUGAUAUUCUUUGGGAUCUUCGGUUCUUUCCCAUCAGCCCUUUGAUAUUCUUUGGACUUCUUUUUUUCUACAGAAACAGAUGCAGUUAUAUGAAGCAAUUUUCAAUUCUGAACAACUGGUAAGUUCGUAGAGUUCACAAAUCAGGCCAUCUGAUUAGAUAAAUUAAAACAGCAUCUGUCAAUUAUGAUGGAAAUACUUCAAUCCAUCUACUCUUAUGAUCAAGAGUUUCGCAUUUUGAAGUUGGUACUUGUCUCUGAUCUGCAUUCCAAAUAUAAAACCAUCUAUGAUUGCAUAAUUGCUUACAUACUGCUGCAUGUCGUAGAUCAAUUAAAAACGUCAAACUUUAACAUCGUGGCGGAAUAUGAUAUCUUUAUGACGUUCCAAACACUAAAUUCGCUGCAGGUUUAGAAAAAAACGUUUGCCAAAACAUUUAAGUGACCUUGCAAUCAAUUAUUUUGGUAGGAAAAGCGCUUACAUAAAUUUUAUUGUUCUUUCAACACUUAAUAUGAUACCAAAAGUAACAAUAUAUCAAGAAAAUUGUUCUUUUUAUUGAGUGUUAAUUGUUGUUUAUGGUAAAAAUCAUCAUAAAAUUGAAUUUAAUGAUAACUACCGUUUAAGAACUGUGAGAAGAUUUACGAGUCUACUAGAGUUUUAAUGUUGUAAUAAUCUAUUCAAUAUAUAAAUAAACACUUCAAUUAAGUAUAGAUGUUAGUGUUUGUUUACAUCUUUAAUUUUAACCUGAAAGUUUGAAUGAUUGCAAGAAUGAAUUAAAUAUACUAUAAAAACUUUUAAUAACAGUAAUAAUGAUACCAAAAUAAUAAUAAUAAUAAUAAUAAUAAUAAUAUAAUUAAUAAUAAAUAAUAAUAAUAAUAAUAAUAAUAUACCAACGGGGGAUGAUCAAUGGCAAUAUCGGCGCGAGCUUUAAAGACAUAUAUAGAAUUUAGCAAUGACAAAGCACAAGGUAUAUUCAAAGCCAAACUUUUGGAAAGCAAAAUAUACAAAACAUUUCAAAACAACACAAACAAAAGACACAAAAAGUUACGUGAAACAUUAGUAGUAGCACUUAUACUAAUAAUUUACAAGAAUAAAGUACUAUUUUAAUUACUUACCCUAUCGGAGCACCUGCUAUCAUUCCGGUGUUGGUCAGACUUUUAUUAUAUGUGUUGUGUUUUGUAUACUGUUGUCUAUCGUUGUUCUUUUUUCUUUUUAACCAUGUUGUUGUCAGAGUUAGGAAUAUGGCAGUUGUUUUCAUUUGUUCUUUUGAUUGAAAGCGUUUGUGUUGCCUCCCUUUUUUAUUUGCCUGGGAGUUCAGUUUUUUGUUACAGUGUUUUUACAAUUAAAUGUAUAAGCACUAGCUAUACUAGUAAAUCAACCAUUAUGUAUUUUGUUCUAUAAUAAAGCAGACAAAGUAUUUGAUAUUAGGUGGACAUGACACACACAUGUUUAAAAUGACAGACGUUCAAAUAGGGAGAAAUCGGGCAUGCAAUUCGUUGUUUUUCCUAUUUUAUGUGUUUACAAUUACUCAGGCAUCAAGCAAAUAUUAAUCCGUAUAUUUAACUAUUACAUUACGUUUUAGGUACAAAUAGCGACAUCUUGUGUUACUGUAAACGUAUACUUAAAUAAAAUGAUUUUUCGACUUUUAAUCAAUUUCAAUUAACUAAUAAACAAUGAUCAAUACGAUACUGAAAGUACAAAAAAUGUAAUACGAAUACUCUCUAUAGUUACUUCUUUGAUACUUCAAAGUAGCAACCGUCCUACCUAACUAACAUUUUGAAUCGGAUACUAUUUGACGAUCGCAAUGACUCAGUCAUUUAAAAACCAUUCGUAAACAUGGGCUUUUACUUAGGCAAAUCAAUUUCACAUCAGUUUCACUGAUUUCAAAGCUUAUCUAAUUUCUUAUUCAAUUACACAGCAUCAAGUCCAAAAGAAUAAAUAUUUUAGAAGCGUGGCGCUAUGAUCAUAAACGUAAUAUUUAAGCAUAAAAUUGACCGGCGCCGGCUUCAAAGUUGACAAACAGCGAAUUAUGAAUAAAGUUAUCAAAUACCCAUUUUUGGACAGGAUUUCAUUUAAGGGCGUAACAAUGCUUAUAUCUACACAAACAUGGCCUACUGUGGAUCAAAUCAAUCAUUCCUAAAUGAUCUUUGCAAUACUGAACAUAUUAAAACGUCAUAAAUUGUCUUAUUUUUUCUUUGCGUUUGUUUUCUCUUCUAUCAGAUUAUAACCUCAGAAUAAAUUUCGUUUGAUUUGUAACAUGUAAUCAUGAUGUUGUCUACUGCAAUACCUUUAAAAAUUAGUAUCCAAACUUUAUUCUUUGCAGAAAAUCUACUAUUUAAGGCAUUAAAAGGUGGGAGGAAUUGAAUUUACUUUAUCCUUUGAACACAUUUCGAAUUGAAGUUUAAACAUAUUUAUUUAUAGUGGAUUGGGAAACAAGUUUUGCAACUUAUAUUAAUCCCUUUCCACUUUGCGGGUGCAUUAGCCUACUCUUUUUCGAAAUCUACAAGGGUGUCUUUAACGUGCAAGAGAUAUGGCUCUCUCUUAACACGGGUCAGCCAUUUAUGGCCCCCUUCCGACGGACUAUCAUCGUUUCCUCAAGACCAUACUCGCAAAUUGAAAGACAAUUCUUAUCUAUAUUUUUGUUUUUUAACAGAUAAAUACAACCAGUUCCACACUAAAGACAAUCAUCAUUACAUUAACGCUUGUUCUUAAUUGUAUUCUAAACAAAUUCAUAUUCUGUUAUUAAAUUUGAUUAUAAAGGACGUUUUGUCGAUGUCCAGAUAUAAAUAUAAUCCAAAUAGUGUUUAUGUAUCAGUAUUUACAAGGAACGCCAUUCGCCCUUUUAGCAAUCUUGGAAUUGUCAGUUUUCCUGUCGAAUGUUAUCUUCGGCUUCCUCUAUCAAUACAAUAAAUGAAAGCCACGAUAAUGCCAAUAUUAUUGAAAGUGCAUUAAACACAUAACAAUCAAUCAAUCAAACUCUGUUAACAUUGCCGAUUUUAUGAUUUAGUAGUAUAUAUUUGCAAUACCGAAUACCGAAAUUUGUCACUUAGCCCAUAUAUUUUGGCUGAUUACAUUGUCAUCGUCAAAAACAACAGAGACGGGGUGUGCUAUACAGCCCUAAAACUUGUAACUGAAAAACAAAUUUAAAAAAAUCACUUAACCCAGGCUAGUUUUAAAAUGAAUUUAAACACAUUUAAAUAUUUCAUUUCAGGACUUGAGGAUAAGCAAUGAACACGAUAUUGGAUAAUACGACAUAAUCUACACGAAAAUGGCAACAGAGUAAAAUGUAUCCCGCUAUGAGCACUUUUGGAAGCACAGAACUUCAACAAAAUCUGUUUGAUAAAUAUAUUUCCUGCAAUCACUUCACCCACAGAAAUAUAUCAGAAAGUUACAGAGACUAUCAAUUUCACUCCACUAUAAACAAUGAUAUGAGACCGGGCAAUAAUUCAUAUGUCCGUAGGUUGAACAGUGGAUAUAAAUAUCGUGGACAGACAAUCAAAAAUCCGUCUGACAAUGGUACUAAUGAAUCAAGGGUUUAUGAUCCAGACAUAAAUCAAAGAUGUAGUAACUAUAACCAGGAGUUGGACAGAACUUUAUAUCAUAACAUGGGGCAAAAAUACGCUGUUCGUGGGAUAGAAGACUCAACUGUUCAAAGUACCCUCGUAAAGACUGAUAACAUACGAGUAGAUCCAAAUAGCGACGAGAGCGACGACGGAGAUGCGAUGACACGUCGUAUGUACCCUUGGAUGAAAUCAAACGGUGG
rnacentral:lncRNA from 1 species